rnacentral:rRNA from 1 species
UACGUAGGGUGCAAGCGUUAAUCGGAAUUACUGGGCGUAAAGCGUGCGCAGGCGGUUAUGUAAGACAGGUGUGAAAUCCCCGGGCUUAACCUGGGAACUGCAUUUGUGACUGCAUAGCUAGAGUACGGUAGAGGGGGAUGGAAUUCCGCGUGUAGCAGUGAAAUGCGUAGAUAUGCGGAGGAACACCGAUGGCGAAGGCAAUCCCCUGGACCUGUACUGACGCUCAGGGACGAAAGCUAGGGGAGCGAAUGGG